CCUGACUCUGAUACCAUGAUAAGAAUGGACAUUGAGUCUAAUUCAACCUCAAAAGCUAGCUUAUGAAGUGAGGAAUGCCCAUGUCAUAUAAGGAGACCAAGGAACUCAAAUUACUCCAAUGUGAGACAACUCAACAAAAGUAGGAUGAGUAACAGACCUUUAAGUAAAAAUUCUCUAUAGAAUUCUUAUUAAAAUUCUUUGAAAACAAUAGCAAAUAGCAAAAACAACACCUCGAACCAACACCUUCGACUGGAAAUUUGACAAGAAACCUUGAACCUCACGGAAUAUUUCGGGUUUGUCUGAAGCUGAUUUUGGCUGCAUUUUUGGGCAGAAACCUUGAUUUGUUUGUGUGGAUAUGGACUGCUUUUUCGAGCUGAUUUUAGAAUUGUUUGGUACUGUUUUUCGCUGCAAUUUUUGAGUACUUUUUGAGCUGGUUUUCGCUCAUUUGAUGGGCUGAUUUAGGACUCGUUUGCUAGAGAAUUUGGUGAAGGUUCCAUGGGUCUCGUUUUGAUGGUGGGAACGACCCUGUUAAAAAGGCAGCAACGUUUGGUGAAAAUAAAGGGGAAGGGUCACGGCUGCUAUAUCUUUUAGGGUGUAGGUCCUUUGGUUUUA
rnacentral:lncRNA from 1 species